rnacentral:rRNA from 1 species
GACGAACGCUGGCGGCAGGCCUAACACAUGCAAGUCGAACGAGGGGCGGACGGGUGAGUAAUGUCUGGGCAACUGCCCGAUGGAGGGGGAUAACUACUGGAAACGGUAGCUAAUACCGCAUACCAUCGGAUGUGCCCAUAUGGGAUUAGCUAGUAGGUGGGGGAAUGGCUCACCUAGGCGACGAUCCAUAGCUGGGCUGAGAGGAUGACCAGCCAAACUGGAACUGAGACACGGUCCAGACUCCGACGGGAGGCAGCAGUGGGGAAUAUUGCACAAUGGGCGCAAGCCUGAUGCAGCCAUGCCGCGUGUAUGAAGAAGGCGUUCGGGUGGUAAAGUACUUUCAGCGAGGAGGCGUUACUCGCAGAAGAAGCAUCGGCUAACUCCGUGCCAGCAGCCGCGGUAAUAC